rnacentral:Y_RNA from 1 species
GGCUGGUCCAAUGGUAGUGGGUUAUCAGAACUUAUUAACAUUAGUGUCACUGAAGUUGGUAUACAACCCCCCACUGCUAAACCUGACUGGCUUUAA